UUGCUUUGGCAGCACAUAUACUAAAAUUGGAAUGAUACAGAGAAGAUUAGCAUGGCCCCUGGGAUGACAUGCAAAUUCGUGAAGCGUUCCAUAUUUUU
ensembl:snRNA U6 U6 spliceosomal RNA